ACGCUCGACACCUACGGGAGGCAGCAGUGGGGGAUAUUGCACAAUGGGGGAAACCCUGAUGCAGCGACGCCGCGUGAGUGAAGAAGUAUUUCGGUAUGUAAAGCUCUAUCAGCAGGGAAGAGAAUGACGGUACCUGAGUAAGAAGCCCCGGCUAACUACGUGCAAGCAGCCGCGGUAAUCUGAGCGGGCUGGCAAGGC
rnacentral:rRNA from 1 species